CCUACGGGAGACAGCAGUGGGGAAUAUUGCACAAUGGGGGAAACCCUGAUGCAGCGACGCCGCGUGAGUGAAGAAGUAUUUCGGUAUGUAAAGCUCUAUCAGCAGGGAAGAAAAUGACGGUACCUGAUUCAGAAGCCCCGGCUAACUACGUGCCAGCAGCCGCGGUAAUCCGUAGGGGGCACGCGUAAUCCGGAUUUACUGGGUGUAAAGGGAGCGUAGACGGCAGGACAAGUCUGGAGAGAAAUGCCGGGGCUUAACCCCGGAACUGCCUUGGAAACUGUGCGGCUGGAGUGCAGGAGAGGUAAGUGGAAUGCAUAGUGUAGCGGUGAAAUGCGUAGAUAUUAGGAAGAACACCAGUGGCGAAGGCGACUUACUGGACUGUAACUGACGUUGAGGCUCGAAAGCGUGGGGAGCAAACAGGAUUAGAUACCCCAGUAGUC
rnacentral:rRNA from 1 species